CGGAAGUCAAGUUCCGGAAGUCAGUCAGGCCUCGAAAGUCAAGUUCCGGAAACUGGCCUUGCAAUCAUUAGACAGCAGCAGCCUCCCUCAUGAUGCGGAAGGCAACGUGGGAGGGAAACCCUCCGGGGCCUGAUUCAGCUUGGCAAGCGUGAGAGGACACCCGAUGAACUUCUCGGAGAAUUCCCUGGAGUGAGACUCAGGACAAUAUUAAAUCCAAUGAAUCACGCAGCCUUCAGGAGGGCAGGGCAGCAUACGGCAGAGCAGCACUGAAUGAUGGCUUGGCUUGGUGUCCCUGGUGGCAGCAGUGGCCACACAGGCACCAUGUUCUCAUUCAACAAAGACUCAGUUUUGACAUGAGGACUGUGAACAUCUCCAGAACAGAAGACAUUUGGAAGAGCUCAUGUCCAUUGGUAUCUGAAACUUGGCUGCUCAUGUGGUCUCCAGAAAUACCUUGUAUCCUGCUGUGAUCCUCAGCAACACCAAUUACAUGGAAAAGAACCAACAAUGUGAAGAAACAUGAAUAUGGUGUUCAUUUUCAAACUGAAAAAGGAAAUAAUUGCAGUUACUAUUUACAGUAUCUGGCUUUUCAGGCUUCAUGCUACACGCAGCUAACUCUUUGUCAAACAAUUAAUUUUGUUUAAAAUAAAUAAGUUUAUAUAUUUAA